rnacentral:snRNA from 1 species
GUGCUCCCUUCGGCAGCACAUAUACCAAAAAAUCGGAAUGAUGCAGAGAUUAGCAUGGCCCCUGCGCAAGGAUGACAUGCAAAUUUGUGAAGCGUUCCAUUUUUAA